rnacentral:snRNA from 1 species
AGUGCUGGUAUGAUCGCAUC